UACAUGGGGUGCAAACGUUGCUCGGAAUUAUUGAGCGUAAAGCGCGCGUAGGCGGUUACUUAAGUCGGAUGUGAAAACCCUCGGCUUAACUGAGGAAGUGCACCCGAAACUGAGUAGCUAGAGUACGAAAGAGGGUCGCGGAAUUCCCGGUGUAGAGGUGAAAUUCGUAGAUAUCGAGAGGAACACCGGUGGCGAAGGCGGCGACCUGGGUCGAGACUGACGCUGAGGCGCGAAAGCUAGGGGAGCGAACGGG
rnacentral:rRNA from 1 species